CCUACGGGUGGCAGCAGUGAGGAAUAUUGGUCAAUGGGCGCGAGCCUGAACCAGCCAAGCAGCGUGAAGGAUGACGGCCCUACGAGUGGUAAGCUUCUUUUAUAAAGGAAUAAAGUGAGGCACGUGUUCCUUUUUGUAUGUACUUUAUGAAUAAGGAUCGGCUAACUCCGUGCCAUCAGCCGCGGUAAUACGGAGGAUCCGAGCGUUAUCCGGAUUUAUUUGGUUUAAAGGGAGCGUAGAUGGGUUGUUAAGUCAGUUGUGAAAUUUUGCGGCUCAACCGUAAAAGUGCAAUUGAUACUGGCAGUCUUGAGUAUAGUUGAGGUAGGCGGAAUUCGUGGUGUAGCGGUGAAAUGCUUAGAUAUCAGGAAGAACUCCGAUGGCGAAGGCAGCUUACUAAAUUGCCACUGACAUUGAGGCUCGAAAGUGUGGGUAGCAAACAGGAUUAGAUACCCCGGUAGUC
rnacentral:rRNA from 1 species